rnacentral:rRNA from 1 species
UACGUAGGUGGCAAGCGUUGUCCGGAUUUACUGGGCGUAAAGAGCGCGCAGGCGGUCGUGCAAGUCGCGUGUGAAAGCCCCCCGGCUCAACUGGGGAGGGUCACGCGAUACUGCUCGACUCGAAGGCAGGAGAGGGAAGUGGAAUUCCCGGUGUAGUGGUGAAAUGCGUAGAUAUCGGGAGGAACACCAGUGGCGAAGGCGACUUCCUGCCUGUUCUUGACGCUGAGGCGCGAAAGCUAGGGUAGCAAACGGG